rnacentral:misc_RNA from 1 species
CAACCCUUAAGCCUAGCUUAGUGUUGGGAAUCUAUGUGUGGCCCACGUUACCCUGUAGCGUGGUUACCCUGUAGUUCCUGAAAAUCAACGGCGGAUUUAUAGUAUCCUCUGAGCGUAGUAAUUUUUUAUCUCGCUUCUGUUUAGGUGCUGUAGAUUCUGCCGCUAAACCCCCAAUUUUUUGUGG